rnacentral:rRNA from 1 species
UUUAAAGUGGUACGCGAGCUGGGUUUAGAACGUCGUGAGACAGUUCGGUCCCUAUCUGCCGUGGGCGCUGGAGAACUGAGGGGGGCUGCUCCUAGUACGAGAGGACCGGAGUGGACGCAUCACUGGUGUUCGGGUUGUCAUGCCAAUGGCACUGCCCGGUAGCUAAAUGCGGAAGAGAUAAGUGCUGAAAGCAUCUAAGCACGAAACUUGCCCCGAGAUGAGUUCUCCCUGAGACUUUAGGUCUCCUGAAGGAACGUUGAAGACGACGACGUUGAUAGGCCGGGUGUGUAAGCGCAGCGAUGCGUUGAGCUAACCGGUACUAAUGAACCGUGAGGCUUAACCUU